rnacentral:lncRNA from 1 species
AUGUCAGUCCCGGCAGUACUGAUGUUAUUGUCAUGUGUUGCUCUGGUGAUGAACUGCCUUAGUAACUUGACAAACUUUUCCAUAUGCGGCAGAGAUAAAUCCAUUCAGAAAAAAAUCCAUCUGCUCUGUAUUUUGGGGGAGAUCAUCAAGGCUUUAUACACCAGCAGUAGGAGAGACCUUUUUUUCCCCAGCCAACACUUUCCUAAAGUGCCUUCCUUUUGGACCUUCUUCUGUGGACUUAGGAAUGACCUGGAAGUCACAAAAGGAGAGUGUCAGAGACACUGUCAUCCUUGAUGUAGCAAGGAAGGAGGUGCAAGAUAUCAAGGUAAUCUAGUUUUACCUCAGUUUACAAACACAGAUGUUGGCCUUUUGUUGUUUUAACCCUGUUCUCUUGUUAUAUUCCAAUUCUUUCAGUCAGACUCAAACAGUAUUUUGUUGUGAAGAGACUGCCUCUCACCCACAAACCCCAGGUCAAAAAUGCCAAAAGAAAAUGCUGCGGGCCUGAAAAAUCUAACUCAGACAAUUACACAUUUCCUUAAUGUUUCUUUGAUAGCACUGCCUACUUGGGAAACAAGCCUUGAAGUGAGAGAAUGGUCAAGUGACAGCUCAAGAGUAUCAAAUACACAGAACCUGGCACCAGAGGGCUCUUAGCACAACUGAAGAAGGGCCAAGCUGCCAGCACUUAACUAUCACCAACACAGGCCCUGCCCACACAGCAUACUGAAAUUUCACUGGGACCUUUUGUAGAUGAGAUGUGAACUAGGCUGAUUCUGGGCAACGUUUGGGUGUCUGAAAACCAUGCAGUGAAAGGAACGGCUCUACCAUGUUUGGCCCUGUAAUUGCUGUUCCCGCCAUUGUGUGAGGCCUCUCGGAGGCUAUGCUUUUUAUGCUGCGGCCACAAUCCCUGGCUCUGUGGG